rnacentral:ncRNA from 1 species
UCUGGAAUCUGAAGAAAGGUGGCGGCAAAUCUCUGAUCUGGCAAAGAAAAACCACAUAUAAGGCGGUGCCAAUGGUAUGGGUAAGGUACAAAUCAAACUAAAGCAUAAUAACUACUCGAAAAUAGGUAAUGUAAAUGUGGCAUAUAGAUUGAGAAAAAGAUU